CGGCCACGCAAGUCCAUCGGGAAAUCCGCCAGCCCAACUGGCGGGCGUCCGGUGGAACCUGCGUGGCUUGGGACCGGAAGACCCGACAGGUACGUCUCGGGUAGGAGUGAAAUCCCGUAAUCCUGGACGGACCGCCGAUGGCGAAAGCAUGUCGGGAAGACGGAUCCGACGGUGAGGGACGAAAGCCAGGGUCUCGAACCGGAUUAGAUACCCGGGUAGUCCUGGCCGUAAACGAUGUCUGCUAGGUGUGGCUCCCGCUACGAGCGGGUGCUGUGCCGUAGGGAAGCCGCUAAGCAGACCGCCUGGGAA
rnacentral:rRNA from 1 species